AGUGAACGCUGGCGGUAGGCCUGACACAUGCAAGUCGAACGGCAGCACAGUAAGAGCUUGCUCUUACGGGUGGCGAGUGGCGGACGGGUGGGGAAUACAUCGGAAUCUACUUUUUCGUGGGGGAUAACGUAGGGAAACUUACGCUAAUACCGCAUACGACCUACGGGUGAAAGCAGGGGAUCUUCGGACCUUGCGCGAUUGAAUGAGCCGAUGUCGGAUUAGCUAGUUGGCGGGGUAAAGGCCCACCAAGGCGACGAUCCGUAGCUGGUCUGAGAGGAUGAUCAGCCACACUGGAACUGAGACACGGUCCAGACUCCUACGGGAGGCAGCAGUGGGGAAUAUUGGACAAUGGGCGCAAGCCUGAUCCAGCCAUACCGCGUGGGUGAAGAAGGCCUUCGGGUUGUAAAGCCCUUUUGUUGGGAAAGAAAAGCAGCAGGUUAAUACCCCGCUGUUCUGACGGUACCCAAAGAAUAAGCACCGGCUAACUUCGUG
rnacentral:rRNA from 1 species